rnacentral:pre_miRNA from 1 species
GAAGUACUCCCUCCGUCCCAAAAUUCUCGUCUUAGAUUUGUCUAGAUACAGAUGUAUCAAGUCACGUUUUAGUAUUAGAUACAUCUGUAUCUAGAAAAAUCUAAGACAAGAAUUUUGGGAUGGAGGGAGUAACAU